AAAAACCCUAUAAUAAACUGAUUAUCUCUUCUUCUCUCACCCCCAUUGGGUCGCACGAACCUCACUCUCUUCUUCCUUUCUGAUUUUUCAGUUGCCAUAGCUCUUCGCCUCUGUACUCUCUGCUGUUUGCCUCUCAACGCCUGAGCUCUCCGUCUCUGGGCGUCUCUGCUCUCUGCUUCCCCCAUUCCAAUUUGGGUCUCUGCUGCUAUCUCUGCCAUUUGUUCGACUCUGCCUCUCCCCUUGACCUAUUUAUGCUAUUGUUGAUGAUGGUGGCUUACAACUGGUGAUGGCGGAUUGAAGUAGUAUGGUGGCAUACAAUGUUUCUAUACCCAUUGUUGGGUAUUCAAUGUGUCUGGGUCUUGAUCUAAUAGCCAGUCUACCUACGUUUUGGUAUAUCAUCGAAUGGUAGAUGAUGUUGUCUGGAUGAUGGUCUUGAUCAAGAAAGGGUGGCUUUGAUGAUGGUGGUAUUGAUCUACUAGUGGACCUCAAAUACCUUGUACUGCUCAUCUUUGGGCUACCAUGUUUUUUUAAGCAAUAAUGUUCGAAGAAGUUGACGAGCUUGUCAGACUUCCGCUAAAAUAUAAAUCCUUGCGACUCUUAUUUGUAGUAUUUACAAUUAUCAAUAUUUAUUGAUUUGUGUAUUGUAUAAUAUACAUUUUAAAUUUAUAUUAUUUGAAUAUUUUAUGAUAA